CUCAGAUUGAACGCUGGCGGCAGGCCUAACACAUGCAAGUCGAGCGGAAACGGCAAUAAAGAUUCUUCGGAUGAUUUAUUGGACGUCGAGCGGCGGACGGGUGAGUAAUGCUUAGGAAUUUGCCCAGUCGAGGGGGAUAACUAUUGGAAACGAUAGCUAAUACCGCAUACGCCCUAUGGGGGAAAAGAGGGGACCUUCGGGCCUUCUGCGAUUGGAUAAGCCUAAGUGAGAUUAGCUAGUUGGUGAGGUAAUGGCUCACCAAGGCGACGAUCUCUAGCUGGUCUGAGAGGAUGAUCAGCCACACUGGAACUGAGACACGGUCCAGACUCCUACGGGAGGCAGCAGUGGGGAAUAUUGCACAAUGGGCGCAAGCCUGAUGCAGCCAUGCCGCGUGUGUGAAGAAGGCCUUCGGGUUGUAAAGCACUUUCAGUCGUGAGGAAGGUAGUUGUGUUAAUAGCGCAUUAUUUGACGUUAG
rnacentral:rRNA from 1 species